rnacentral:rRNA from 1 species
AUGCCAUCGGGUGCCCGCCGUGAGGAGCUCCAUGUCUGCCACAACCACAGAUGCAUCACCACGUCCCCGCGAGAGCACUCACCGUGGCUCGGGGAGGAGGAGGGCCGCCCGUCGGCCGGCAAGCUCGUGCAGCAGCUGGUGGAGGGCGCGCCGGGUGGGGUCCCGGGUAGGAGGCGCAGCAAGGAGGGCGCGCCCGCCGCGAGGAGGCCGGUCGGGGAGCGGCACGACCGGCUGGGGAGGGCCCAGAUCCAAUUGGAGGCAGACCGGGACGACGAGCCACGAGCCAGGGCGAGGCCACCCGCGGCAGCAGCAGGUCAGGGAAGAGCCGCAGGGAGCCGCCGAGGGAGGCCGCCUCCGCCGGUGGGGCCCGCCGGCGCCGCCAGAGACGGAUCUGGGGGACGUGGCGGGUCAGGAGGCCAGCUGAGCAGGAGGAACGGCCCCGCCGCCGCCAUCCCAGGGCCCGGCGCGGCUUCCCCGGCCGGCCCUCCGGUGACAGCAGCUGAGGUAGGCGGGAGGAGGGGUGGCGGGCCAGCGGCGGCUGGGAUCCCCCGUGUCGCCCAGGUCGGGCGACGCGAGGGUCGGGCUGUGCCUACAAUCGCUGCUCGACUUUUGAGACGAGAUUUAUUUGUCAUUGAAGAAGCAUUUGUUGAAGCAUCAUCCCACGCAGAGCAACUCACAUUCCAUCACCACCAGUGGAAGAUAUCAAAAUCGUCGCAAGAUGGCUAG